rnacentral:rRNA from 1 species
CCCUUAGAUGUUCUGGGCGGCCCGCGCACUACAUUGGCACUCUCAAUAAGUUCCUAGAUCUAAAACUUUGGGGUAUUCGAUUAAGUGGUGUCGUGACUGGGAUUAACCCUUGCAAUUAUUGGUUACGAACGAGGAAUUCCUUGUAAUCGCGGUUUAUCAGCCCGCGUUGAAUGCGUCCCUGCCCUUUGUACACACCGCCCGUCGCUCCUACCGAUGAAUCGUCCGGUGAAGUUCAUGGAGUGGUGGUUGUUCCAGCUGCUGUCGAAGUGAAAUGGACCUCACGAUUUAGAGGAAGGAGAAGUCGUAACA